CGCGUAGGUGGUUUGUUAAGUUGGAUGCGAAAGCCCCGGGCUCAACCUGGGAACUGCAUCCAAAACUGGCAAGCUAGAGUACGGUAGAGGGUGGUGGAAUUUCCUGUGUAGCGGUGAAAUGCGUAGAUAUAGGAAGGAACACCAGUGGCGAAGGCGACCACCUGGACUGAUACUGACACUGAGGUGCGAAAGCGUGGGGAGCAAACA
rnacentral:rRNA from 1 species